AUCCAACUGACGAGUCCCAAACAGGACGCGCGUCCUGGAU
rfam:Schistosoma haematobium scaffold809_15, whole genome shotgun sequence.